ACGUAGGGGGCAAGCGUUGUUCGGAAUUACUGGGCGUAAAGGGCGCGUAGGCGGCAUGGCAAGUCGGGAGUGAAAUCCCGGGGCUCAACCCCGGAACUGCUUUCGAAACUGCCAAGCUAGAGUACGGAAGGGGCAACUGGAAUUCCCAGUGUAGCGGUGAAAUGCGUAGAUAUUGGGAAGAACACCGGAGGCGAAGGCGGGUUGCUGGGCCGAUACUGACGCUGAGGCGCGAAAGCCAGGGGAGCAAACGGGAUUAGAUACCCCGGUAGUCCUGGCCCUAAACGAUGGAUACUUGGUGUGUGGGGUUCUCAAAGUCCCCGCGUGCCGGAGCUAACGCGUUAAGUAUCCCGCCUGGGGAGUACGGUCGCAAGGCUG
rnacentral:rRNA from 1 species